UACGUAGGGUGCAAGCGUUGUCCGGAAUUAUUGGGCGUAAAGAGCUCGUAGGCGGUCUGUCGCGUCUGCUGUGAAAACUCAGGGCUUAACCCUGAGCUUGCAGUGGGUACGGGCAGACUAGAGUGCGGUAGGGGAGACUGGAAUUCCUGGUGUAGCGGUGAAAUGCGCAGAUAUCAGGAGGAACACCGAUGGCGAAGGCAGGUCUCUGGGCCGAUACUGACGCUGAGGAGCGAAAGCGUGGGGAGCGAACGGG
rnacentral:rRNA from 1 species